rnacentral:rRNA from 1 species
AUUGAACGCUGGCGGCAGGCCUAACACAUGCAAGUCGAACGAGAGGCGGACGGGUGAGUAAUGUCUGGGACACUGCCUGAUGGAGGGGGUUAACUACUGGAAACGGUAGCUAAUACCGCAUAGCAUCAGCUGGGCCGAGAUGGGAUUAGCUAGUGGGUGGGGUAACGGCUCACCAAGGCGACGAUCCCUAGCUGGUCUGAGAGGAUGAUCAGCCACACGGGAACUGAGACACGGUCCAGACUCCUACGGGAGGCAGCAGUGGGGAAUAUUGCACAAUGGGCGAAAGCCUGAUACAGCCAUGCCGCGUGUAUGAAGAAGGCCUUCGGGUUGUAAAGUACUUUCAGCGGGGAGGCGUUACCCGCAGAAGAAGCACCGGCUAACUCCGUGCCAGCAGCCGCGGUAAUAC